rnacentral:rRNA from 1 species
GAACUGCAUUCGAAACUGGCAGGCUUGAGUCUUGUAGAGGGGGGUAGAAUUCCAGGUGUAGCGGUGAAAUGCGUAGAGAUCUGGAGGAAUACCGGUGGCGAAGGCGGCCCCCUGGACAAAGACUGACGCUCAGGUGCGAAAGCGUGGGGAGCAAACAGGAUUAGAUACCCUGGUAGUCCACGCCGUAAACGAUGUCUACUUGGAGGUUGUGCCCUUGAGGCGUGGCUUCCGGAGCUAACGCGUUAAGUAGACCGCCUGGGGAGUACGGCCGCAAGGUUAAAACUCAAAUGAAUUGACGGGGGCCCGCACAAGCGGUGGAGCAUGUGGUUUAAUUCGAUGCAACGCGAAGAACCUUACCUGGUCUUGACAUCCACAGAACUUUCCAGAGAUGGAUUGGUGCCUUCGGGAACUGUGAGACAGGUGCUGCAUGGCUGUCGUCAGCUCGUGUUGUGAAAUGUUGGGUUAAGUCCCGCAACGAGCGCAACCCUUAUCCUUUGUUGCCAGCGAUUA